AUUGCAUGCAUGACUUCCGGUCCGAAGUGUUGUCUCGCGGCGGAGCGCUUGAGCUGCUGUGCCCCGCUAUUAGCGUGCGCUACUCCCGUUGGCCUGCGUUGGUAAGUGUCCUCUUGGUCUGCACAAUCUGAUUAUUAAAUAUUAGCGCUAACAAUGGUUCGGUUGUAGGUACCGCAUGUAGCUGUAGGCUCCUCCCCCUGUUAUCGUCAGUGUGCCGCCAAUCGAGUCAACAGAUGAGGGACGGCUACUGAGCAACCUGAACGGCUGAACCCUGCUGCUUUGUCUUUAUAUUUCGUCUGCAGUUUCAAUUACAGCGCCGUCCGCUGUUGUGUUUACAGCUUUGUCUGUUGUCCUUGUUUAUAGCGCUGUUUGUUGUCUGUUGCCUACAGCGUUGCAACAGAUUUGGCGUUGUGUUACCACGGCCGGAACCGUUACAGCCAUUUUUCAUAAGUGUGCCGCCUUGGCCAUUGGGUUUGUUUUGCUUUGAAUAUAGUUUGUUUAUUUACUUUCUUUUCUGUUUUUGAGCAAAGGAUAUUUUGUUUGGAUUGAUUGUUUGCCCCGUUUUGGUUUCGCAUUAGUUUUGUUUCAUUGUGUUUGAUUCUUGUCUGUUUUACUUUGCAGAGGUCUGUGGUGGUGGCGGUGUCCCUUUUCUUCCUGUGUGCUGUGCUUCCCUGGGAUUUGUGUUUGUGUGUGUGAUUAUCAUUUACCCGGGUGAUUUAUAUUAUUUGGACCCUUCCCUUCGCUAGUCCCCCCAUUCACAUCAGCCUCCGCCUUAACAGUUUAUUGUGUGAUUAUUCCAUUGGAUUAAUCAAAUAAAAUAUAUAUUGUUAAAACUGUGAACCACGUCUCCUGCCAUUAGAGUCAACUUACUUGCGUGUCCUAAAUUAAAUCUUUGGGUGAAAGUCCCAAGGUGGCGUUGUCUGCAACCUCCUGAACACGGGCUGUGCUUGGUGUGGUCCCUAACGUGACCUCGCCCCACGCCCGCUUCUCA